CCGGCCCCUUCCUCCCGUCACCACACCUCGCCGCCGACCUCACUCCCCCCCUCUCUUCUCCGCCCCACUCCACUCCCUCCACCUACCGCGUCCACAGAGCCAGAACCCCUCGCCCCCGCGUGCCCUCGUCGCCUCUGCCGCGAUAAUCUCAGCCAUGUCCUCGUCGGCCCAUGGGUUCCCAUCGAGGCGGAGCCGCCCAACAGGGAGGAGAUCGAGGAUGCCGCGCGUUUUCCUUCUCCUCUUUCUCGUUGCGCUGCCGCGUUCAAGUAGAAUAACCCGACGCUGACGCUGACGCCGACGACGAUGCCAAGUGGUUAUGCUUGUAGGCCCGGGAGCGACACCGACGGAGACGAGGAUGACGAUGCCGUGAUGGAGGUCAAUGGCGCCGAGGUCGAGGAGGCCGCCCAGGACAAGGCCGCUGCCAAGGCGCUCGGGACCAAGAUCAGCUCGGCCUCGAGUGACGUCGGGGCGCUCGUGCUCCCGUGGCUGACCCCUCCCGGGAACCUUGACAAGGGAAGAAGCUGCCCAAUCUGACGAGUUCGGAUGCCCGCCAAGACUUGUGAAGAAGAGCAAGGCCAAGAAAGACUCCAACAAGCCCAAGCGCCCCCCUGAGCGCCGUCUUAGUCCUCAUGGACAACUUCAGGAACGUCUCCAACAUCAAGCAGGUCUCCAUGGUUUGCAAGGUCGGUGGUGAGAAGUGGAAGUAUCUUGAGUGAUGUUGGGGACGCGACACGCCAAGCAGCAGCAAGGGGAGGGGGGGAUCUGAAAUGUCUCCGCUGUCGCUCAUUGCUAGCAUCACCGAUUGAUGAUGGAUGGUUGCUGUUAGUUUAGAUCCUUGGUAGUAGCUCCUUGUUUUUCUAGCGGCUGCUGCUGCUGCUCGUAGAAAUGGUAGCUACAAUCCUAUGUACUUCCUGUGCUCGGAUUGCCCUUUGUUGAAUGUACCUACUGUUGUACCUGUGGCUGUUUAAGGAAUCCUUUUGUGUUGAAAGAAAUAAAAUUGUCACCCGUGGAUGUUUAAGAUAAA